CAUAUUGCGUGGCAAAAAAUGGAAACACGCAAAAAUGGAAAUAAGGAUAACCACAUUACGGCAAAAAUUAACACGUGUCAAAUUUAUUGGAGCAUGGCCAGAGCAGAGAACUUAAUUUGAAUGCUUUGUAUAUAUGUAAUUUAAGUGAAAUUAAUGCCUUGUGCGUAUAUAUGCAUGUGUGUAUGUAACAUUACAGUGGACGCCAGAGCAACCCAUUUUAAUCGUUGUUUGUGGUUGGAGAAACAACUUGCCGUGGAGCUGCUUCGCAACCUUCUACUUCGGGCUUCCAUUGAGCCAAUCCCCGGACUUAUAGUACAGUCAAUCUGGCUCUAUUUUUAGAUGUACCUGGAAAAAACUCCGCACACGAUUAAAAGGGGACAAUGCUGUUCAGAAAAAUAUCUUAAUAAAAAUUAGAUGUCCAAUCUAUUAAUUUGGUAGGAAUAUUGUUUUUUAAAUGAAAUACAAAUUAUUGCCAA